rnacentral:sRNA from 1 species
CUCCAGCUCUGCCAGUGCGGGCCCUGCGUGGGAGGUGAACCCUGCCUGGCGACUCUCCCCCUGCAGUGCUCAGUAACCUGUGGCAACGGCACCCAGGAGCGGCCAGUGCUCUGCCGCACCGCGGACGACAGCUUCGGCAUCUGCCAGGAGGAGCGUCCUGAGACAGCGAGGACCUGCAGGCUUGGCCCCUGUCCCCGAAACACCUCAGAUCCCUCCAAGAAGAGCUACGUAGUUCAGUGGCUGUCCCGCCCGGACCCCGACUCGCCCAUCCAGAAGAUCUCGUCAAAGGGCCACUGCCAAGGCGACAAGUCAAUAUUCUGUA